GACGAACGCUGGCGGCGCGCCUAACACAUGCAAGUCGAACGGAGUCAAGAGGAGCUUGCUUUUCUUGACUUAGUGGCGAACGGGUGAGUAACGCGUGAGUAACCUGCCCUGGAGUGGGGGACAACAGUUGGAAACGACUGCUAAUACCGCAUAAGCCCACGGAUCUGCAUGGAUCUGCGGGAAAAGGAUUUAUUCGCUCUAGGGUGGACUCGCGUCCAAUUAGCUAGUUGGUGAGGUAACGGCCCACCAAGGCGACGAUUGGUAGCCGGACUGAGAGGUUGAACGGCCACAUUGGGACUGAGACACGGCCCAGACUCCUACGGGAGGCAGCAGUGGGGGAUAUUGCACAAUGGGGGAAACCCUGAUGCAGCGACGCCGCGUGGAGGAAGAAGGUUUUCGGAUUGUAAACUCCUGUCGUUAGGGACGAUAAUGACGGUACCUAACAAGAAAGCACCAGCUAACUACGUG
rnacentral:rRNA from 1 species